rnacentral:rRNA from 1 species
GAUGAAUGCUAGCGGCAGGCUUAAUACAUGCAAGUCGAGGGGCAGCAUGAUUGUAGCAAUACAAUUGAUGGCGACCGGCAAACGGGUGCGGAACACGUACACAACCUUCCAACAAGUGGGGGAUAGCCCAGAGAAAUUUGGAUUAAUACCCCGUAACAUAGCGAUGUGGCAUCACAUUGCUAUUAUAGAUUUUUCGCUUGUUGAUGGGUGUGCGGCUGAUUAGAUAGUUGGCGGGGUAACGGCCCACCAAGUCUACGAUCAGUAGCUGAUGUGAGAGCAUGAUCAGCCACACAGGCCCUGAGACACGGGCCCGACUCCUACGGGAGGCAGCAGUAAGGAAUAUUGGACACUGGACGCAAGUCUGAUCCCGCCAUGCCGCGUGAAGGAUUAAGGUCCUCUGGAUUGUAAACUUCUUUUAUAAGGGACGAAAAAAGGCUUUUCUAAGUCGUCUGACGGUACCUUAUGAAUAAGCACCGGCUAACUCCGUGCCAGCCGCCGCAGUAACAC